GACGAACGCUGGCGGCGUGCUUAACACAUGCAAGUCGAGCGGUAAGGCCCUUUCGGGGGUACACGAGCGGCGAACGGGUGAGUAACACGUGGGUGACCUGCCCUUAGCUCUGGGAUAAGCCUGGGAAACUGGGUCUAAUACCGGAUAUGACUCCAUGACGCAUGUUGUGGGGUGGAAAGCCUUGUGCGGCUAGGGAUGGGCCCGCGGCCUAUCAGCCUGUUGGUGGGGUGAGGCCUACCAAGGCGACGACGGGUAGCCGGCCUGAGAGGGCGACCGGCCACACUGGGACUGAGACACGGCCCAGACUCCUACGGGAGGCAGCAGUGGGGAAUCUUGCGCAAUGGGCGAAAGCCUGACGCAGCGACGCCGCGUGGGGAUGACGGCCU
rnacentral:rRNA from 1 species